CUAUUGCACAACAGUACUCUGUUUCUAAUAAUAGAGCCAACAUAUGCACAGAACGGGAAUCGGCAACCAUAUUGCAAUCAUGGCUGUGGGAGGAAGCACCGAUGCAGGAAAAGAAUAUCUUCAGAAGCUGUUAGAUAAAGCUAAUGAUCACAGCCAGAGUGGCACAUCUGAAGAUGUAUAUUACCUGUACCGGAAUAAACCCAACAGCUACUUUCAGGAUAUCAACAAUAACUACAAUGGCAUCAUGAAAAAGAGACUCAAAGACAGUGGAGGUGAUCCACGCUGUCCAAUCAAUAGCAGACUUGGCGGCCUCUUUUUUGGGGUUACACUACACGGAGGUGUUAUACCAGAUAAAUCGCCAUUUGGAAACACAAGAGUUAAAGUUCCGCUGAGUGAGGUGUUUCAUGGCACAUCAAAUUUGUACUUUGCCGAUUUCUUUUGCAAACCUUCACGCAACCGAAUACAUUAUGUUACCUUGGUUCUGACAAAGGCUGAUUCAGAAGCAGAUAUGUUCUGUAGAGAGAACCUGAUCAAACUCAAUGUCAUGAACAACUUGUACUUGCGAAAGCAAAGCCUGGGGUAUUCAACACUGAAACGAUCCAAAGUGUUUGUUGAUGUGUUCUAUACAGAAGAUAUAGACAUAUCAAACAGGAUCCUCAGUUCUACAGGGAUAUAUGGACGAGGGCAAAGUGUUGGGGGAAUACCAAAAGCUGGUGGGUGUGGGAUUUGCAAUGUCGGAGUCCAACCCAGCAGAAGAUAUGUACAUCACGUGGAAUAUGACGAUCUUUUUGACUAUGACGAUCGUUUUGACGAUGACGUUCGUUUUGACGAUGACGAUCUUUUUGGAUACACAAACAAUCCUUUUGAGGACUAUUAUGAUGAUAUGGGUAUUGGCUAUGAUUUUGAUGAUUACUAUUGAUACCUCGAUUGAUGGGACUAUAUUAAAUAAUCUUGAGCAGAUUCAAUGACAGAUCGCCCGAGUAGGUGCUUGUAUUAGUAUAAUGUGUAUAUACUAUGACAUGUCUUUAGAGUAAUGUGUCACACUGUAUAUAUAUUUUUUUUCGUACUGACAAUAUUAUUUUAUUUCACUAUCAGAUGAGAUACACAUGUAGAGUUGCUUUUUAGCUCAUGGAUUUGAUUAUAAAUGUGUGGCAACAUUAGUCUAAAAAGGUACUGUGUUUAAUGCAUGUUGGUGUGGAUUUCUGAAAUCUGGGAUUGUAAUCAUUUCAAGAUACUGUUUUACCUACAACGAAUGAAACCAGACAAAUUGAUUCAUGUGAAAAAAAUAACGUAGGAACCAUUUUGCAUUUUAUAAUUAAUUAAUCAUGAAACAUCUAUAUAAUCAUCAAGUCACUGUCUUCUUUUUACCAACAAAUAUGAGGCAGAAAAUGACAUCCAAUAUCCACUUUGUCACACAAACCCAUUACAAAUACUAAACUGUGAUAGAAAUAUCUAAAUAGCUAGAAAAUAUGUGUGUGUGUGUGUGUGUGUGUGUGUGUGUGUGUGUGUGUGUGUGUGUGUGUGUGUGUGUGUGUGUGUGUGUGUGUGUGUGUGUGUGUGUGUGUGUGUGUGUGUGUGUGUGUGUGU
rnacentral:misc_RNA from 1 species